GGGGAUUUAGCUCAGCGGCAUAAGCGCCUGCCUUGCAAGCAGGCAGUCGUGAGUUCAAUCCCUA
rfam:Cavia porcellus supercont2_77 genomic scaffold, whole genome shotgun sequence.